UACGUAGGGUGCAAGCGUUGUCCGGAAUUAUUGGGCGUAAAGAGCUCGUAGGCGGUCUGUCGCGUCUGCUGUGAAAACUCAGGGCUUAACCCUGAGCUUGCAGUGGGUACGGGCAGACUAGGAGUGCGGUAGGGGAGACUGGAAUUCCUGGUGUAGCGGUGAAAUGCGCAGAUAUCGUAAGGAAGACCAGUGGCGAAGGCGGGUCUCGUGGACAGUUCCUGACGCUGAGGCACGAAGGUCAGGGGGAGCAAAACGGG
rnacentral:rRNA from 1 species